GGACAAUUAAUUUAAUUAAUGCACACAACAAUGGGGGACACACUUGACUAAUCCAACAAAAAUAACUGAUCUUAAACUUCUCAAGACAAAACACAACAGUCUAAGAUCAUUAAUAAUGGUGUCAUACAAAUCACAACAAUAUGUAUCUGAAACAAUACAAUUACUUAGCUAACUGUUAAAAACAGUAAGAACAUAAGGCGUACAAA
rnacentral:misc_RNA from 1 species